rnacentral:rRNA from 1 species
GAUGAACGCUGGCGGCGUGCCUAAUACAUGCAAGUCGAGCGAACAGACGAGGAGCUUGCUCCUUUGACGUUAGCGGCGGACGUGUGAGUAACACGUGGGUAACCUACCUAUAAGACUGGGAUAACUUCGGGAAACCGGAGCUAAUACCGGAUAAUAUUUCGAACCGCAUGGUUCGAUAGUGAAAGAUGGCUUUGCUAUCACUUAUAGAUGGACCUGCGCCGUAUUAGCUAGUUGGUAAGGUAACGGCUUACCAAGGCAACGAUACGUAGCCGACCUGAGAGGGUGAUCGGCCACACUGGAACUGAGACACGGUCCAGACUCCUACGGGAGGCAGCAGUAGGGAAUCUUCCGCAAUGGGCGAAAGCCUGACGGAGCAACGCCGCGUGAGUGAUGAAGGUCUUCGGAUCGUAAAACUCUGUUAUUAGGGAAGAACAAACGUGUAAGUAACUGUGCACGUCUUGACGGUACCUAAUCAGAAAGCCACGGCUAACUACGUG